rnacentral:lncRNA from 1 species
GACCUUCUUGGGGGCCGCAUCCUUCGCAGACUCUAAGAUUUCAGAAUGACUACCAUCUUGACUUCCACUUUUAGAAACCUUUCUACUACAUCAAAAUGGGCCCUCAGAUUUUCUGUAAGACCUCUGAGCUGUUCUUCACAAGUACAGUCUGCCCCAGCUGUCCAGACCAAGUCAAAGAAGACUUUAGCAAAACCUAAUCUAAAGAACAUUGUGGUGGUGGAAGGUGUCCGAAUUCCAUUUCUGCUGUCAGGCACUUCGUAAGUAUAAACUGCUC